rnacentral:rRNA from 1 species
AUGUGUCAGGCCAUUUUCAAAUUCCACCUAUUGUACAGCCAACUCUAUACGUCUUUGAUAAUUUCGAACAACAAUCUGCUCCUAUGGUUUGGCCUCCUAAUACUGUUCCACAACUGGCUUGUAAUUCAAACAAGCCUCCUGUACCUCCACAUCAUUUUUAAUCAUGUCACUGGACAGUUUAUUCCUGCACCACCUGUCACUGUUGGAGUUCAACAGCAAACACCUAUGUUCAGUAAACCUGGCAUAGAAAUUGAUAGAAAUGAGAGAGUACACCAGCUAGGGGGUACUUCUCAUUAUGCUGAUGCUGUUUUAAAAGGACCCAGGUUGGAAAUACCUUUAUUUGCUGGCGAUGAUCCCAUUGGAUGGUUGCAGCAAUGUGAGAAAUUCAGUGACAUGUCUGGUACUCCAUAUGAACAAUGGGUUAACAUUGCAACUGGACUUUUUUAUUGCAGAGCAAAUGUGUGGUUAAAGAAUAUAUAUGUCCCAUGGCAAAUGAUCAGUUGGCAAGAUUUCUGUAAUAUGAUUGCAGAUAGAUUUACUCAAGCAAAUGCAUAUGAAGCUGUGGAGUUAUUGAAGAUUAUACAUCAGCAAACAACUGUACUCACUUAUAUUGAUCAAUUUGAGGAAUGCGUCCGGUUGGCCAGAAGAGAUCAUCCCUGUUUACAGGAGCCUUUUCUUAUGAGUUGUUUCAUAGGAGGACUACGAGCAGAUAUAACGUAUGAUGUCAGUGGACAAAGACCUAGGGGGAUAUUACAGGCUUAUUGGUAA